GCGGACGGGUGAGUAAUGUCUGGGAAACUGCCUGAUGGAGGGGGAUAACUACUGGAAACGGUAGCUAAUACCGCAUAACGUCGCAAGACCAAAGAGGGGGACCUUCGGACCUCUUGCCAUCGGAUGUGCCCAGAUGGGAUUAGCUUGUUGGUGGGGUAACGGCUCACCAAGGCGACGAUCCCUAGCUGGUCUGAGAGGAUGACCAGCCACACUGGAACUGAGACACGGUCCAGACUCCUACGGGAGGCAGCAUG
rnacentral:rRNA from 1 species